GUGGGAGGGGGCUUGCCCCCGAUGGCAGUGUGUCAGUCACCGAAAAUGUUGAUUGAUCUACUGCUAUCGGGGGCAAGCCCCCUCCCAC
rnacentral:misc_RNA from 1 species